GAUGAACGCUAGCUACAGGCUUAACACAUGCAAGUCGAGGGGUAGCAGGGUAGCAAUACCGCUGACGACCGGCGCACGGGUGAGUAACACGUAUCCAACCUUCCCAUAACUCGGGGAUAGCCUUUCGAAAGGAAGAUUAAUACCCGAUAGUACUUGAGAAAGGCAUCUUUUUUAAGUUAAAGAUUUAUUGGUUAUGGAUGGGGAUGCGUUCCAUUAGAUAGUUGGUGGGGUAACGGCUCACCAAGUCUUCGAUGGAUAGGGGUUCUGAGAGGAAGGUCCCCCACAUUGGUACUGAGACACGGACCAAACUCCUACGGGAGGCAGCAGUGAGGAAUAUUGGUCAAUGGGCGAGAGCCUGAACCAGCCAAGUAGCGUGAAGGAUGAAGGUCCUAUGGAUUGUAAACUUCUUUUAUAGUAGAAUAAAGUGACCCACGUGUGGAUUUUUGUAUGUAUACUAUGAAUAAGGAUCGGCUAACUCCGUGCCAGCAGCCGCGGUAA
rnacentral:rRNA from 1 species